GGAAUAUUGGACAAUGGGCGCAAGCCUGAUCCAGCCAUGCCGCGUGAGUGAAGAAGGCCCUCGGGUUGUAAAGCUCUUUUGUCCGGAAAGAAAAGCACUGGGUUAAUACCCUGGUGUCCUGACGGUACAGGGAGAAUAAGCACCGGGUAACUUCGUGCCGGCAGCCGCGGUAAUACGAAGGGUGCAAGCGUUACUCGGAAUUACUGGGCGUAAAGCGUGCGUAGGUGGUUUGUUAAGUCUGAUGUGAAAGCCCUGGGCUCAACCUGGGAAUUGCAUUGGAUACUGGCAGGCUAGAGUGCGGUAGAGGGUAGUGGAAUUCCCGGUGUAGCAGUGAAAUGCGUAGAGAUCGGGAGGAACAUCUGUGGCGAAGGCGACUACCUGGACCAGCACUGACACUGAGGCACGAAAGCGUGGGGAGCAAAC
rnacentral:rRNA from 1 species